UACGUAGGGGGCAAGCGUUGUCCGGAUUUAUUGGGCGUAAAGAGCGUGUAGGCGGCCAGACAGGUCUGCUGUGAAAACUCGAGGCUCAACCUCGAGACGCCGGUGGAAACCGUCUGGCUAGAGUCCGGAAGAGGAGAGUGGAAUUCCUGGUGUAGCGGUGAAAUGCGCAGAUAUCAGGAAGAACACCCGUGGCUAAGGCGGCUCUCUAGUACGGUACUGACGCUGAGGUGCGAAAGCGUGGGGAGCAAACAGG
rnacentral:rRNA from 1 species